UACGUAGGGUCCGAGCGUUGUCCGGAAUUAUUGGGCGUAAAGGGCUCGUAGGCGGUUCGUCACGUCGGGAGUGAAAACUCGGGGCUUAACCCCAAGCCUGCGGUCGAUACGGGCAGGCUAGAGUUCGGUAGGGGAGACUGGAAUUCCUGGUGUAGCGGUGAAAUGCGCAGAUAUCAGGAGGAACACCGAUGGCGAAGGCAGGUCUCUGGGCCGAUACUGACGCUGAGGAGCGAAAGCGUGGGGAGCGAACAGG
rnacentral:rRNA from 1 species